rfam:Parcubacteria bacterium GW2011_GWC1_36_108 TR95_C0002, whole genome shotgun sequence.
GCCGCGGUGGUGGAAUUGGUAUACACGCCAGUCUUAGGAACUGGUGGGGCAACCCGUGCGAGUCCGAGUCUCGCCCGCGGCA